GGAUGAAUAUUGGACAAUGGGCGCAAGCCUGAUCCAGCCAUGCCGCGUGCAGGAAGACGGUCCUAUGGAUUGUAAACUGCUUUUAUACAGGAAGAAACACACCCUCGUGAGGGUACUUGACGGUACUGUAUGAAUAAGCAUCGGCUAACUCCGUGCCAGCAGCCGCGGUAAUACGGAGGAUGCAAGCGUUAUCCGGAAUCAUUGGGUUUAAAGGGUCCGUAGGCGGUUUAAUAAGUCAGUGGUGAAAGCC
rnacentral:rRNA from 1 species